ACAAGGGGUCAUCAAACCAGUGAAAGUUGACAGCACUUAUGGAUAUGUUAAGGACUUGAUGAAAGAAGUUUUGUACUGCAGACGCAUUAAUCCAACACUGUCCAAAGCUCUUGAUGUCGCUGGAGUGAAAGAAAUACAUGUCCCAUUGAC